UGGAUAGCUCAGUUGGUGGAGUAUGAGGCUCUGAAUCUCAGGGCUGGGGGUUACAGCCCCACAUUGGACAA